rnacentral:ncRNA from 1 species
AGUUUUAUUUUGGCUUAUUAAUUUGUUAUUAGUUUAAUUUAUAUGUAAAUUUUUAUAUGAAUUUUUAUUUAUUUAAAUAAUAAAUAAAUUAUUUUUAUUCGCAGUAAUUAGUAUUAUUAAUUAAGGAAAUUUAGAAAUAGUAAUAUUAAAAUAGUAUUGGCUAAAUUUGUGCCAGCAGCCGCGGUUAUACGAAUAAUACAAAUAAAUUUUAUUAGUUAAAAGUUAAAUUGAUUUUAUAAAAAUAUAAAAUAAUUUAUUAAGUGAAAUUUUUAAAUUAUUAUUAUUUUAUUUUUUAAAAAUUGAAGCUUAAAAAUUUUAGAUAUAAACUAGGAUUAGAUACCCUAUUAUUUAAAAUGUAAUUAGUUAUACUUAGGUAGUAGUAGUUAUGUUCUUGAAACUUAAAAAAUUUGGCGGUAUUUUAGUCUAUUCAGAGGAACCUGUUCUAUAAUCGAUAAUCCACGAUGGACCUUACUUAAAUUUGUUCAGUUUAUAUACCGUCGUUAUUAGAAUAUUUUAUAAGAAUGUUAAUUUUCAAAAUUUUAAAAAAGAAAAUAUAUCAGAUCAAGGUGUAGCUUAUAUUUAAGUAGAAAUGGGUUACAAUAAAUUUAUUUAUAUGAAUAUAAGUUUGAAAUACUUAUUGAAGGUGGAUUUGAUAGUAAAAUUAUAAAGAUUAAUAAUUUGAUUUUAGCUCUAAAAUAUGUACACAUCGCCCGUCACUCUUAUUACUAAGAUAAGAUAAGUCGUAACAUAGUAGAUGUACUGGAAAGUGUAUCUAGAAUGC